CCUUCGGAGGGCAUGAUUAAGCAGCGGGAGACUGGCAUCUAUACCAACGACUUCCUGGAGUUUAUCGGCAGCGGACACUCCACCGUGCCCAAAGACACAUACGACCUGGUGGUCACCUCGGGCGGUAUGGGCGAAGGUCACAUCUCACACAGUGGCCUCGACGACGUUGUGCGCGUCGCAAAGAACGGAGGCUUCGUGAUCAUCGUGAUGCGCCAUGAGUUCCUACAGACCGUGCCUUCCUACAAGGACAAGCUGGAGCCUUACAUGGACCAGCUGGAGGCGGACGGGAAGUGGAAGAAGGUAGG